rnacentral:lncRNA from 1 species
CAAGGAAACAAGCUAGGUAAGUUAGAAUUUCUUUAAUUCUCCUUGAUAACUAGCUUACCCAUGCUUUUGUUCUUGAUUUCCAUGGUUGAAUAUUGAGUUAUCAUGAUGAAUUCAAUUCUGAAAAAUGGGUAUGGAAGAGGAAUCGUUGUUGGAAUAAUUUGAUUUUAGACUAUGUUAGUGUUUAGGGAUAGUUAAGCAUGGUUAUGAACAAAAACACAAAAGAAAUAUUCAAUUUCUCUAUGGUUCCUUGUUGGUCGAACCAUGAGGGCUGAAUAUCAAUGGGGCAUUGUUUUUAUUGCAAGGAAAAAGGCUUGAAAAAUGAUGAAUUAAGGUGAAACGGUUAUGUAGAAAAAAUUUCGGUGCUAGUGCACCAAAUGACCAAAUUUUUCUAUAAGGAACUGUGAGGGUUCUAAUGCUGAAUUUGGCUUUAUUUAAAUGGUAUGUGGUAAAUUAAGGUAUUAGAGGAGAAAUGGAUUAAUUUGGAGGUGAUUUGGACACAAUUGCCAAUUAAUCAGGUGAUCGGUCGAAUUUAAUCGAUACCGCAAUGAAGCGGUAAUCGGACGUAUUUUUGCAUUUACAUAUCAAGCAUUAGUAAUUUAAAUUAGUUUAUAUCAAUUUAUGGGCAAUAUAGUAAAUUCUUCGACUUUAUUAUUUGACAAGGUAGUGAGACGUCCGAAAAAGGCAAAGGAAUUAUGCCUGAGGACUAUUAGUUCGAGUGCACCUGGAAUCCGAAUUUUCGACACCUGUGAAUGAAUUUGCAUUUCAAAAUUUAUUUGGGAAUUCUAAUUAAGUUGAAAUGAAAUGCGUGAAUGAUUAUAUCUAAUUCCCAUUUAAAAAUGAAUCUCGGGAACAAGCCUUUAGUGAAAAUAUUUCUGUGAUGUUAAAUAUGAUUGCGAUGCAUCUGUGUAUAUCUGUAUGAUGCCUACAUGUAUUAUUGAGAAAUUGUGUGAAAUUAAGUGUACUGAAUCUGUGUACCCUUGUAUUAUGCUGAUAUGCAUUAUUAAUAAAUUAUGGUGAAAUUGAUGCGACCGUGCAUGUGCGGAGUGGGAAGUGCAAUGCCAGUUGAAUGACAAAGGAUGUGUUAAUUACGAUCGUGCAUGUGCGGAGUGGGAAAUGCAAUGCCGGUUUAAUGAUAAAGGUUGUGGGGAUGGCGAUACGUAACGCCCAUAAUUUCCUAGAAAUUCAGAGGUGUGCAAACAGGGAUACUGAGUGAUACCCCUUACCGAGUACUCCGAUUGUUAUUUCUUUGUACCACCAAGAAUAGUAAAGACUUGGCGGUGUAUAUAAUUGUUCAUAUCUUUGUGUAUAUAUGUUUGAUUGUGUGGUAUGUGAAACCCUUGUUUGUGACGGUUUGUGAUAAACCGUUAAUUUUGCUAUCUUGCUUGAUAGAACAAUUGGUGAAUGAAAUUGUACGUGAUACAUAUGCAUAUAUGAAUCGUACGGGUUAUGAAACCCUUAUUGUGUGACAAUUUGUAAAUAACCGUAAGUUUUACUACUUUGCUAGAAGGAUCGGUGUAAAUUCAAGGAUGUUUAAUCCUUGAAUGCGUAAUAAAUUUCUAGGUAAAGGAAAAAGGGUUUGGAAUAGUAGUUAGAUGAAAAUGGCUUUAUUUUCAACCGGUGCAUCAUGAUUGUCAAAUUUCCUGGUUGAGAUUGCUUGUUCCCUUCUAAUAUUCACUCACUGAGUAUUGUACUCACGUUUUAUAAAAAUUCAUAUUUUCAGAUCAAGUGACUGUUGGACCUUAGAUCGAGGAGUCCCCGUAGUGCAUCUCUUGGGUAUGUGUCUGGCAUUCGAUAGUAAUCCCUUUUAUUGUAAAUGUCUCACAGGAAGUCAUGGGUCCUUUUGUAUUGUGAAUACAAUCUAACAGUGUGAAUAUGUGUAUGCAAUGUAAAUUGCUAAAUACAUGACUGGUAUAGUGCAUGUAUAUUAUUAUCGAUAAUGCCAUUGUGUUUUGGCUAUGUUCACACUCG